CCUACGGGAGGCAGCAGUGGGGAAUAUUGCGCAAUGGGCGAAAGCCUGACGCAGCGACGCCGCGUGAGGGAUGAAGGUCUUCGGAGCGGAAACCUCUGUCAGCAGGGAAGAACGGUCACGGGGCUAAGCAGCAGUGAAUGGACGGUACCGACAAAGGAAGCACCGGCUAACUCCGGGCCAGCAGCCGCGGUAAUCCGGAGGGUGCGAGCGUUAAGCGGAAUUACUGGGCGUAACGCGCGCGUAGGCGGUAUGUCAAGUCAAGGGUGAAAUCCCCGCGCGCAACGUGGGAACUGCCUUUGAAACUGGCAAACUGGAGUGUGUCAGAGGUUAGUGGAAUUCCAGGUGUAGGCG
rnacentral:rRNA from 1 species